UACGUACCGUCCAAACGUUAUUCGGAAUCACUGGGCUUAAAGAGUUCGUAGGCGGCUCAGAAAGUUGGGUGUGAAAUCCCCCGGCUCAACCGGGGAAUUGCGCUCAAAACUACUGGGCUUGAGGGAGAUAGAGGUGAGCGGAACUGAUGGUGGAGCGGUGAAAUGCGUUGAUAUCAUCAGGAACACCGGAGGCGAAGGCGGCUCACUGGGUCUUACCUGACGCUGAGGAACGAAAGCUAGGGGAGCGAACGGG
rnacentral:misc_RNA from 1 species